rnacentral:tRNA from 1 species
GGGCACGUGGCCGAGUGGCUGAAGGCGCUCCCCUGCUAAGGGAGUAUGGGGUUAAUAGCUCCAUCGAGGGUUCGAAUCCCUCCGUGUCCGCCA